GGUUAUAGCUCAGCAGUAGAGCGCUUGCCUCAUACACGUGAGGCACUGGGUUCGAUCCUCAGCACCA
rnacentral:tRNA from 1 species